UCGCUGUGAUGAUAUCAAGAGAACGGUUUCGCAAACUUCUGAUAUCUCGUGAGGAGCGACUCUCUUGGCUGUCUGAGCGG